rnacentral:lncRNA from 1 species
GGAGAGGGAGAAGUGAAAAUGUGCAUUUCUUCAUACUCUAGCUGUCCUUCCUGCCUGUCAGAAUGCUGCUUCUCUCAUGGGUGUCCCUGCUGAGUGCUGUCUUGACAGGUUCUGGAGCUUUCUUUGCACAUGGCCUUCCGCUGUGUGAGCUAAUAGGCGCCCUCAGAGGGAAAGUCUUCCUUAAGCUAUUUAAAGUCUUAAAAAGCUACAGGAAAGCUUUAAAAAUGCUUCUGAUUUGAGUGUAUUUGAAAUGGAUUUUUCUCUUAAGAUACUUCCCUCUCUCUGUAUAAUUUGUAGACUUGUCAUAUAAAGGAAUGGUUAGUGUUCUAGGAACAGUUGUGAAACCUGUCUGGACUUGAUCAUUGUUCACUGUUCACUAUGUUCUAGAAGAAUGGAUCCUUACAGAAUCACUGAAGCUAUGGGCUACCCAGCCUCAGGAAGGAGAACAGGCUUCCCAGCCACCUGUUGCAACACCCUUCCAUUCCCAUGCUGUUAUUAAAUAGAGCUUCCUUUCACUGACCUCUAAUGCAGCUGGUGUUGAGUUAGCUGUGCUUGCUGUCCUCAUUGCCCUGCACUGCUGUGUGAGGCCUCGCUCUCUGGCCAGACCUUACUGUUCGCUUGCGCUAUUCAGAGCAUCUGCCCACCAUUACCUAGGGAUUAGCCGCACUGGCUGUAAAACCGUAUUAAUUUAGGAAUUGUUAGUGUACAGUCAAGGAUGUUGUGAUGAUUAAAUUUGCCAGUGUCAAUGGUAAGCAUACGCCUGCUAUUUCUACACCAUAAAUGUCGAUAUACUUUUUUUCUUUUUUUUUAAUUUAAUUUAUUUUAAAAUUAAAAUAUAAUAAAUCUCCCUCCUUUGCUUUCCUCCCUCCAACCCCUUCCAUAUUCCCCCAGAACCUUCUCAAAUCGAUGACUUCUUUUUUUAUUAUUGUCACCUAUACAGGGAUGAACAACUUUGAGUCCAUUCUCGUUGAUUAUGUGUGUAUGACUUUGGGCUGACCACUUGUGUGGGAUAACCACUAAUGGGGCUCUGUUCUUGGAGAGGCUAACUCCCCUUCUCUCAGCAGCCACUAGCUACCUGUAGUCUUUGAGUGAACUUCCUUGUUCUGUGUAGCUUGUCUGCUGAUGCUGUCAUUGUUUGGGCAGCUCUUUCACAGCAGACUCUCCAGUCCUCUGGCUCGUACUGUCUUUCCACUGCUCUUCUGAAAUAUCCCCUGAACCUUAGGUACAGGAGUUGUAUUGAAGAUAUAUCCAUUGGGACUGGGCUUCCCAUUGUGUUCAGUUGUGUGCUAGCCUUCUCUUUCUCCCCCUCCCUCCCUCUCCUCUCCCUCUCUUCCUCCGUCCUUCUCUCCUUCCCUCUCUCCCUCCCUCUCAAGAUCUAUUUGAUUAUUUUAUAUGUAUCAGUGUUUUGUUUGUUUGUAUGUAUGCCCGGCACAUGUAUGCUGGGUCAGAAGAAGGUGUUGAAUCCCUUGGGAUUGGAGUUACAGAUGAUUGUGAGCCACCAUGUGGGUCCUGGAUAGCGAACCCAGGGCCUCUGCAAGAGCAGCAAGCGUUGUUAACUACUGAGCCAGUUCUCGCCCCGGUUGUGUUUUCUGUAAUGGUCACUAUUUGCUAUAAAGAGAAGUUUCUUUGAUGAGAAAGGAGAGAUACACUUACCUGUGCAUACAAGGAUAAGCUUUAGACUACAGUUAGAAAUUAUGCGGUAAGAUGGCGCAUAGUAGUAGUUCUCUUCUGAGAUCCUUGACCUUAGGAGUUCAGAGUAGUUGGCAUGUUUUCCCUCCUGUUGAGUGUGCAUUAAGUCCAAUCUGACAACUGUUGGGUCCCACAAAGAUUUCGGUUAGUAUGGUUGCACCUUUAGGUAUUUGCUUAGCUGGUCAGUGUUCUGAUUCAUAGGUACCACACUGUAUAGAAUCAGUUGAAUCCCUUCCUUGAUGGCUUACAUAGUACUUUCUGGCACUGUGGAAGCCAGAGCACAGGAAGGAGGCUUUCAGGUUCUAUCCAGCUUGAUUUAUUGUAGUCCUCUAGAUCCUGUGUGCUGGGUUUUCGGCAACAGUGUCUUCCCUUCAACAUCUGUGAGGCAACUGAGGGCAACAGCAAUAUUAUAUCCUAUAUUAUUUUGGAAAUCACUUGCAUUACCACGAGCAACAACUUGAAUGGAGAUUUCUCAUGCCUGGUACUAGGGCAUUUUGCUAGGUAAGCUAGGUUCUUGUAGGGAGCUUUGUCAGCCCAAAGCCCAACUGAUGUAACUUCCUUUAACAUAGUUGUGGGUGUGUGCACACAUGCACAUACAUUUACAUACAUUGCAUAUAAUUUAAUUUUAGGUAAAUAUAAAAUAGUAUGAUCCCUUGAGGUUUUAUAGACCAGCCUUGGUAUUGUCAUUCAGCCCUUCUAUGUUGAUCACCUUCUUCCUCCCCCAGUUCCCCUUCCAGUUAGAGCCUUCCUCGCCAUCUCCCCCAUUUUCUCCUUCAUACUAUACUUGGUGACCUCCUUUCUUUCGGAUGAAGCAUCAAGGUGUGUGUGUGUGUGUGUGUGUGUGUGUGUGUGGUGUUUGUUUGGUUUUUGGUUUUUGAGAUAGGGGUUCUCUGUGUCUCUGUGUCUCUCUGCUACACAGAGACAUCCUAUCUUUAAAAAAAUUUUUUUUCAUACAAUGUAUUUUCAUCAUAUUUUUUUCCUUCCUCCCAACUUACUAUUCUUUUUCUCUCACUAAAAACAAAAC